rnacentral:rRNA from 1 species
CAGCAGCCGCGGGAAUACGAAGGGGGCUAGCGUUGCUCGGAAUGACUGGGCGUAAAGCGUGCGCAGGCGGCUUUGCAAGACAGAUGUGAAAUCCCCGGGCUCAACCUGGGAACUGCAUUUGUGACUGCAAGGCUAGAGUGCGGCAGAGGGAGAUGGAAUUCCGCGUGUAGCAGUGAAAUGCGUAGAUAUGCGGAGGAGCACCGAUGGCGAAGGCAAUCUCCUGGGCCUGCACUGACGCUCAUGCACGAAAGCGUGGGGAGCAAACAGGAUUAGAUACCCCAGUAGUCCCUGUCUCUUAUAC